ACAGCCACAUCAUAUUGUAUCAUUGGUUCCCGUACGAUCACCGCCGUCGAGCAACGUCGGGCCUGAUGAGUACCAAGAUGGAUGACCGCUUGGGAAUCCUAAGCGCAGU